GAAGGCCUGGGGGUACCGAGGUGUCCGCCGCCCUCUCUGGUCUUUAUCAGCCGCCCCGGGAGAGGAGAGGGAGGCCGUGAGCGGGGGAGCAAGUGGCUUUCGUUCGGACUGUCUCCAGCGCAGGUCCCAGCCCCGCAGGGCAGGGCCACCCUGGUGAAGUGAGGUGAAGCGGCCGUCGUCUGCCUUUGUGCCGGUUACUGCUGCGAGGUGUUGCUGUGGGGCAGGGAGCUGCUGCUGUGUGCAGAGUGCCGUUUGCUCCCUAGGCAGCCCCGGCCCUGAAGGAAGCACCUUGCAUCCAAGAAAAAUUAUUCCUGCCUGGAGACAUAACAUAAUUUCUCAAUAAACUCCAGCUUCCUAACUGUUGCAAUACCAAGGACAUCAAGCAUUAGACUUCCCUACAAAGUAUAUGUAUCAGCUUAGGCUGGCACAGGAAGAAUUCUUAAGACUGGUCUGAAAGAACCGACGUUUACUCAAAGCCUCUGAUUCGACACAGGAAAGCCUUACAUGGCACAAUUGGCGUGAUCCCUGGACUUAAGCCCAUUAACAGAAAAAGAUAAUGGUGCUAUUAUGAGAGCCAAAUGGAGGGAAAAUACAUAACAAUACCAUAUACAAGCAAAAUCACAGCAGAUCUAGAAUGAGGGAACGGGGAGCAGAUGGCGUACCUGCCUCACUGAGACUAGAGACUCUUUCUGUGAUCUGCUCACUUGGCAAAAUCUACUAUACCUCAGGCAGAGUGCAAAUGAUACAUACAUGUAGUCAAGAAACUCCCUCCCCUGUCCUUAGAGGAAGGUAGUGAUGCUAUCACAAUAUUUUUGAAGGAAAAAUGUCAACAUUUUUGAUUGCGUGACUGUAUGCUUGAACUGUAAUAAACGGCAGGUGUCUCUUUGCUUCCUUCAGUACCCUCCACGCUCAUAAGCAAUUAAGAUUUGAUUAUUAAGGGGAAGAA